AGGAGGAACAGCCCCAGUGGCGGGGCAGCUCUGGAGCCCUGGAUUCAGCUCCGGCAGGAACUCCGGAGCUCUCCGUCUGCAGGGCCUGGAGGCUCCCGGGCGGG
rnacentral:pre_miRNA from 1 species